GGAGUUAGCCGGUGCUUCUUCUGCGAGUAACGUCACAGAUGUAAGGUAUUAACUUACACCCUUUCCUCCUCGCUGAAAGUGCUUUACAACCCGAAGGCCUUCUUCACACACGCGGCAUGGCUGCAUCAGGGUUUCCCCCAUUGUGCAAUAUUCCCUACUGCUGCCUCCCGUAGGAGUCUGGGCCGUGUCUCAGUCCCAGUGUGGCUGAUCAUCCUCUCAGACCAGCUAGGGAUCGUCGCCUAGGUGAGCCUUUACCUCACCUACUAGCUAAUCCCACCUGGGCUUAUCCAUCAGCGCAAGGCCCGAAGGUCCCCUGCUUUCCCCCGUAGGGCGUAUGCGGUAUUAGCAGUCGUUUCCAACUGUUAUCCCCCACAAAUGGGCAAAUUCCCAGGCAUUACUCACCCGUCCGCCGCUCGUCAUCUUCAAAAGCAAGCUUUUGAAAUGUUACCGCUCGACUUGCAUGUGUUAGGCCUGCCGCCAGCGUUCAAUCUGAACCAAGAUCAAAUUCUGA
rnacentral:rRNA from 1 species